GGUGAGGUACUCAAGUGGCCGAAGAGGCGGGUUUGCUAAACCUGUAGGGCGCAGCUUCACUGCGCCGCGAGGGUUCGAAUCCCUCCCUCACCGCCA
rnacentral:tRNA from 1 species